rnacentral:rRNA from 1 species
GACGAACGCUGGCGGCGUGCCUAAUACAUGCAAGUAGGACGCAGUUGCGAACGGGUGAGUAACGCGUAGGUAACUACCUAUUAGAGGGGGAUAACUAUUGGCAACGAUAGCUAAUACCGCAUACUAGUAAGUGGACCUGCGUUGUAUUAGCUAGUAGGUAGGGGAAUGGGCUACCUAGGCAACGAUACAUAGCCGAGCGGAGGUGGGGAUCGGCCACCACGGGACUGAGACACGGCCCCGGCCCCUACGGGAGGGAGCAGUAGGGAAUCUUCGGCAAUGGGGGGAACCCUGACCGAGCCACGCCGCGUGAGUGAAGAAGGUUUUCGGAUCGUAAAGCUCUGUUGUUAAGGAAGCGGUACUUAACCAGAAAGGGACGGCUAACUACGUGCCAGCCGCCGCGGUAAUAC